rnacentral:rRNA from 1 species
UACAGAGGGUGCAAACGUUGCUCGGAAUCACUGGGCGUAAAGGGCGUGUCGGCGGGCAGAUAAGUCGGGCGUGAAAUCCCCAGGCUCAACCUGGGAACUGCACUCGAAACUGUUUGUCUUGAGUAUCGGAGAGGAAAGCGGAAUACCUGAUGUAGAGGUGAAAUUCGUAGAUAUCAGGUGGAACACCAGUGGCGAAGGCGGCUUUCUGGACGAUAACUGACGCUGAGACGCGAAAGCGUGGGGAGCAAACAGG